rnacentral:rRNA from 1 species
UAGGGAAUCUUCGGCAAUGGACGAAAGUCUGACCGAGCAACGCCGCGUGAGUGAAGAAGGUUUUCGGAUCGUAAAACUCUGUUGUUAGAGAAGAACAAGGACGUUAGUAACUGAACGUCACCUGACGGUAUCUAACCAGAAAGCCACGGCUAACUACGUGCCAGCAGCCGCGGUAAUACGUAGGUGGCAAGCGUUGUCCGGAUUUAUUGGGCGUAAAGCGAGCGCAGGCGGUUUCUUAAGUCUGAUGUGAAAGCCCCCGGCUCAACCGGGGAGGGUCAUUGGAAACUGGGAGACUUGGUUGCAGAAGAGGAGAGUGGAAUUCCAUGUGUAGCGGUGAAAUGCGUAGAUAUAUGGAGGAACACCAGUGGCGAAGGCGGCUCUCUGGUCUGUAACUGACGCUGAGGCUCGAAAGCGUGGGGAGCAAACAGG